rnacentral:rRNA from 1 species
UACAGAGGUCCCAAGCGUUGUUCGGAUUCACUGGGCGUAAAGGGUGCGUAGGCGGUCGGGUAAGUCUGAUGUGAAAUCUCACAGCUUAACUGUGAAACUGCAUUGGAUACUAUUCGGCUUGAGAGUUGGAGGGGGGACUGGAAUUCUUGGUGUAGCAGUGAAAUGCGUAGAUAUCAAGAGGAACACCGGUGGCGAAGGCGGAUCUCUGGGCCUGUCCUGACGCUGAGGCGCGAAAGCUAGGGGAGCGAACAGG